GCAGCCAAGCGUUCAUAGCGACGUUGCUU
rnacentral:snRNA from 1 species